UGUGCAGUGGACCAUACAAACAAAGUAAUAAAUAAAUGAUUUCAGAAUGAAGAAAAAUAAACGAGUGAUUCAGUCUGCACUAUCCUACAUCAGACAAAGACAAAUAGCAAUUAAAUAAGACUUUACAUUAAAUUGUGUUAACAAGCACAAAAAUACUAGUAAGUAAUACUAUACUAAUAUGAAUUAUGUUGUACUCUCUGAAUAUGAUGAUGUAGAAGGCAAUGCAUCUUGGAAACAGUAGUCCGUUACCAGCAACAGCGUUCAAUCCGCUUUAUGAAAAGGACUACCUUACCCAUAAUGCUACAGCUUACAAGAGGACCCGGAAGUCGCAUGAAAUUCAAACUGCCACACUUGACGACGCGUGAUCUUUGUUUUGUCUUUAUAUAAUACUGUAAGAAGUCAUGUACCACACAUUGUCAAACCUGAAGAAGUGUAUCUUCCUGCAAUCUGGGCUCCAGACCUGGAGAUUGAAGUUCCUAAAGGUUGAUGUUUAUCAAGCUUGUGACCUUAUUGCAUGGUGUUAUUUUUUACAUUUAUAUAUCUAAUACACAUUUGCACAUCUGUAAACAUAAAUUUAAUAUUUUGUGGGUUAUUUUUAAAUUUUAUUUAACCAGUUGUUGUAUAUUGAAAUCUGUUAUUACAUGUUAUGCACUCCAACUGUAAAUGUUUUGUUUUAAUUGCAUCUUUAUUGUUUUAAACAAUUUAAUUAAUGUGGGUUUUUGUUAGCUUUUAUGUUAUUCUUGU